rnacentral:rRNA from 1 species
GGUUAAGCGACUAAGCGUACACGGUGGAUGCCCUGGCAGUCAGAGGCGAUGAAGGACGUGCUAAUCUGCGAUAAGCGUCGGUGAGGUGAUAUGAACCGUUAUAACCGGCGAUUUCCGAAUGGGGAAACCCAGUGUGUUUCGACACACUAUCAUUAACUGAAUCCAUAGGUUAAUGAGGCGAACCGGGGGAACUGAAACAUCUAAGUACCCCGAGGAAAAGAAAUCAACCGAGAUUCCCCCAGUAGCGGCGAGCGAACGGGGAGCAGCCCAGAGCCUGAAUCAGUGUGUGUGUUAGUGGAAGCGUCUGGAAAGGCGCGCGAUACAGGGUGACAGCCCCGUACACAAAAAUGCACAUGCUGUGAGCUCGAUGAGUAGGGCGGGACACGUGGUAUCCUGUCUGAAUAUGGGGGGACCAUCCUCCAAGGCUAAAUACUCCUGACUGACCGAUAGUGAACCAGUACCGUGAGGGAAAGGCGAAAAGAACCCCGGCGAGGGGAGUGAAAAAGAACCUGAAACCGUGUACGUACAAGCAGUGGGAGCCUCUUUAUGGGGUGACUGCGUACCUUUUGUAUAAUGGGUCAGCGACUUAUAUUCUGUAGCAAGGUUAACCGAAUAGGGGAGCCGAAGGGAAACCGAGUCUUAACUGGGCGUUAAGUUGCAGGGUAUAGACCCGAAACCCGGUGAUCUAGCCAUGGGCAGGUUGAAGGUUGGGUAACACUAACUGGAGGACCGAACCGACUAAUGUUGAAAAAUUAGCGGAUGACUUGUGGCUGGGGGUGAAAGGCCAAUCAAACCGGGAGAUAGCUGGUUCUCCCCGAAAGCUAUUUAGGUAGCGCCUCGUGAAUUCAUCUCCGGGGGUAGAGCACUGUUUCGGCAAGGGGGUCAUCCCGACUUACCAACCCGAUGCAAACUGCGAAUACCGGAGAAUGUUAUCACGGGAGACACACGGCGGGUGCUAACGUCCGUCGUGAAGAGGGAAACAACCCAGACCGCCAGCUAAGGUCCCAAAGUCAUGGUUAAGUGGGAAACGAUGUGGGAAGGCCCAGACAGCCAGGAUGUUGGCUUAGAAGCAGCCAUCAUUUAAAGAAAGCGUAAUAGCUCACUGGUCGAGUCGGCCUGCGCGGAAGAUGUAACGGGGCUAAACCAUGCACCGAAGCUGCGGCAGCGACACUAUGUGUUGUUGGGUAGGGGAGCGUUCUGUAAGCCUGUGAAGGUGUACUGUGAGGUAUGCUGGAGGUAUCAGAAGUGCGAAUGCUGACAUAAGUAACGAUAAAGCGGGUGAAAAGCCCGCUCGCCGGAAGACCAAGGGUUCCUGUCCAACGUUAAUCGGGGCAGGGUGAGUCGACCCCUAAGGCGAGGCCGAAAGGCGUAGUCGAUGGGAAACAGGUUAAUAUUCCUGUACUUGGUGUUACUGCGAAGGGGGGACGGAGAAGGCUAUGUUGGCCGGGCGACGGUUGUCCCGGUUUAAGCGUGUAGGCUGAUUUUCCAGGCAAAUCCGGAAAAUCAAGGCUGAGGCGUGAUGACGAGGCACUACGGUGCUGAAGCAACAAAUGCCCUGCUUCCAGGAAAAGCCUCUAAGCAUCAGGUAACAUCAAAUCGUACCCCAAACCGACACAGGUGGUCAGGUAGAGAAUACCAAGGCGCUUGAGAGAACUCGGGUGAAGGAACUAGGCAAAAUGGUGCCGUAACUUCGGGAGAAGGCACGCUGAUAUGUAGGUGAAGCGACUUGCUCGUGGAGCUGAAAUCAGUCGAAGAUACCAGCUGGCUGCAACUGUUUAUUAAAAACACAGCACUGUGCAAACACGAAAGUGGACGUAUACGGUGUGACGCCUGCCCGGUGCCGGAAGGUUAAUUGAUGGGGUUAGCGGUAACGCGAAGCUCUUGAUCGAAGCCCCGGUAAACGGCGGCCGUAACUAUAACGGUCCUAAGGUAGCGAAAUUCCUUGUCGGGUAAGUUCCGACCUGCACGAAUGGCGUAAUGAUGGCCAGGCUGUCUCCACCCGAGACUCAGUGAAAUUGAACUCGCUGUGAAGAUGCAGUGUACCCGCGGCAAGACGGAAAGACCCCGUGAACCUUUACUAUAGCUUGACACUGAACAUUGAGCCUUGAUGUGUAGGAUAGGUGGGAGGCUUUGAAGUGUGGACGCCAGUCUGCAUGGAGCCGGCCUUGAAAUACCACCCUUUAAUGUUUGAUGUUCUAACGUUGGCCCCUGAUCGGGGUUGCGGACAGUGUCUGGUGGGUAGUUUGACUGGGGCGGUCUCCUCCUAAAGAGUAACGGAGGAGCACGAAGGUUGGCUAAUCCUGGUCGGACAUCAGGAGGUUAGUGCAAUGGCAUAAGCCAGCUUGACUGCGAGCGUGACGGCGCGAGCAGGUGCGAAAGCAGGUCAUAGUGAUCCGGUGGUUCUGAAUGGAAGGGCCAUCGCUCAACGGAUAAAAGGUACUCCGGGGAUAACAGGCUGAUACCGCCCAAGAGUUCAUAUCGACGGCGGUGUUUGGCACCUCGAUGUCGGCUCAUCACAUCCUGGGGCUGAAGUAGGUCCCAAGGGUAUGGCUGUUCGCCAUUUAAAGUGGUACGCGAGCUGGGUUUAGAACGUCGUGAGACAGUUCGGUCCCUAUCUGCCGUGGGCGCUGGAGAACUGAGGGGGGCUGCUCCUAGUACGAGAGGACCGGAGUGGACGCAUCACUGGUGUUCGGGUUGUCAUGCCAAUGGCACUGCCCGGUAGCUAAAUGCGGAAGAGAUAAGUGCUGAAAGCAUCUAAGCACGAAACUUGCCCCGAGAUGAGUUCUCCCUGAGACUUAGAGUCUCCUGAAGGAACGUUGAAGACGACGACGUUGAUAGGCCGGGUGUGUAAGCGCAGCGAUGCGUUGAGCUAACCGGUACUAAUGAACCGUGAGGCUUAACCUU